GGGCCUGCGCGCUCGCCCCGCGCCCUCCGUCCCCACGCCGGCCUCCGCGCCCUCGCGUGCUGCAGCAUCUCCGCGCUGCCCGGCCUCCCAGCCGCAGCCUCCCCUCGCCGUCGCCUGUCCUUGCUGCCACCAUCGCUGCCGCCAUUCUUGGCACGGAGCUGGCCCGACCGGGCCCCGCCGAGAGCCGCCGCGGGUCGGACGCGCGCUUCAGGUUGAAAACACACAGUAUUUCCCUUCAAAGAAACACUUAAGAGGGUCUUAAGAGAAGUACUUCCGCCGGGCGUUGGUGGCGCACGUCUUU
rnacentral:lncRNA from 1 species